AGAGUUUGAUCCUGGCUCAGGAUGAACGCUGGCGGCGUGCCUAACACAUGCAAGUCGAGCGAUCUCUUCGGAGAGAGCGGCGGACGGGUGAGUAACGCGUGGGUAACCUGCCCUGUACACACGGAUAACAUACCGAAAGGUAUACUAAUACGGGAUAACAUAUGAAAGUCGCAUGGCUUUUGUAUCAAAGCUCCGGCGGUACAGGAUGGACCCGCGUCUGAUUAGCUAGUUGGUAAGGUAAUGGCUUACCAAGGCAACGAUCAGUAGCCGACCUGAGAGGGUGAUCGGCCACACUGGAACUGAGACACGGUCCAGACUCCUACGGGAGGCAGCAGUGGGGAAUAUUGCACAAUGGGCGAAAGCCUGAUGCAGCAACGCCGCGUGAGCGAUGAAGGCCUUCGGGUCGUAAAGCUCUGUCCUCAAGGAAGAUAAUGACGGUACUUGAGGAGGAAGCCCCGGCUAACUACGUGCCAGCAGCCGCGGUAAUACGUAGGGGGCUAGCGUUAUCCGGAAUUACUGGGCGUAAAGGGUGCGUAGGUGGUUUUUUAAGUCAGAAGUGAAAGGCUACGGCUCAACCGUAGUAAGCUUUUGAAACUAGAGAACUUGAGUGCAGGAGAGGAGAGUAGAAUUCCUAGUGUAGCGGUGAAAUGCGUAGAUAUUAGGAGGAAUACCAGUAGCGAAGGCGGCUCUCUGGACUGUAACUGACACUGAGGCACGAAAGCGUGGGGGAGCAAACAGGAUUAGAUACCCUGGUAGUCCACGCCGUAAAUGAUGAGUACUAGGUGUCGGGGGUUACCCCCCUCGGUGCCGCAGCUAACGCAUUAAGUACUCCGCCUGGGAAGUACGCUCGCAAGAGUGAAACUCAAAGGAAUUGACGGGGACCCGCACAAGUAGCGGAGCAUGUGGUUUAAUUCGAAGCAACGCGAAGAACCUUACCUAAGCUUGACAUCCCAUUGACCUCUCCCUAAUCGGAGAUUUCCCUUCGGGGACAGUGGUGACAGGUGGUGCAUGGUUGUCGUCAGCUCGUGUCGUGAGAUGUUGGGUUAAGUCCCGCAACGAGCGCAACCCUUGCCUUUAGUUGCCAGCAUUAAGUUGGGCACUCUAGAGGGACUGCCGAGGAUAACUCGGAGGAAGGUGGGGAUGACGUCAAAUCAUCAUGCCCCUUAUGCUUAGGGCUACACACGUGCUACAAUGGGUGGUACAGAGGGUUGCCAAGCCGCGAGGUGGAGCUAAUCCCUUAAAGCCAUUCUCAGUUCGGAUUGUAGGCUGAAACUCGCCUACAUGAAGCUGGAGUUACUAGUAAUCGCAGAUCAGAAUGCUGCGGUGAAUGCGUUCCCGGGUCUUGCACACACCGCCCGUCA
rnacentral:rRNA from 1 species